rnacentral:snRNA from 1 species
AUACUUACCUGGCAGGGGAGACACUGUGAUCACCAAGGCAGUUCUCCCAGGGCGAGGCUUACCCAUUGCACUUCGGGUGUGCUGACCCCUGCGAUUUCCCCAAAAAAAAAAAAAAGGGUCUUUUUGUAGGCUAAAUUACUUCCUGGAUUGGGCAGAAAUCUCCUCUGUG